CCUCAGAGAAGUAAUUCUUAUCUGAAGUAGAAUGAAAGGGGAAAGGCCAUUUGAAAUUUAGACUAAUGAGAAACCUUAAAUGUCUUGUGUAAAUAUUAGUAGGAAAAACUUUAGUCAUCUGAGCAGGUGUGAUCAAGCUGGCAAUAUCUGGAAAAAAGCUUCCUACAAAUGUGUUUCACCUUCAGAGAAAUUCAUGGAAAGGAAUCUGAUGAGUCCUCUAGAAUACAUAUUUCUGAUAACUUUCAGAUCAUACAACUAAACUGGUCAAAACAAAGACUGCCCUUGAAUCUCCUUGGAAGCGAGUAUGCCAAGACCUCCUUACUACCCAGUUGGCCGCCAAAUUUCAGGGACUAAAAUGUUGGAUAUAUAUUCACAACUGAAGAAGGCUCCACCUGAUAUCUGGUCCUGUACAGAUACUGGAAACCUCUGAAUCAAAUUGAUGAAGAGACAUAGCUGAAAUAGAGGUAGAUUGCUUCCUCCCAAUGCACCAAGUAAAGACUUUAUACUCUAACUAAACAUGAAACCCUUUCUUUCCUUUACUCUCGUACUGACCUGGAAAGAUAACCCCAUCACCUGUACCUCCCAGGCUACUGCUUUGCCUUUCAUACUGCUGGAUUUAUCAUCAAAAACUCCUAUCUGUCCAUUAACCAUGCCACAUUAGUGAAAGUAGUUUGUGCCCCAACAAAGUUUUUCUUUGUGUUGGUUAUUAUUCUUCUUGGGCCUAUGAAUGCCUAGAUGGCUGGCACAUAACUGGACAGUGCUUCUUAUGGUAUCUAACUAUGCCCCUAACUGUAACACCUCACUGGUCAACUCCCCUGGAUUGACAUUGCUGAGUUAGAAAGGAAUUAUCUAGAGGUAUUCAUGACUUAGGAUUUGCUUCCUUUGACAGGACCACACUUCCCUUAUUAGGAAUACAUAUAAAUAAAAAUGUGAUCAGAAAUCUCUCCUGAACUAUAGAAGGUAUCACAGAAUCUAUGGCUAAGAUAAUAACUGCUCAAGAAAGGUCUUUAGACUAUCUGGUCAAAGUUAUUCUUGAUAAUAGGACAGCAGCCCUGGUUAUCUUUUAACCAAGCAAGGAGGUGUCUACACUGCAGCCAACACCACCUGCUGUACUGGAUUAACACUUCUGGGAAGCUGAAAUUCAAUCACGAUCACAAUGAGCAAGCCACUCAGCAUUAAAAGGUGACUCCUUCAGCAAGGUCUUCCUUUGACUUAUUUGAUUUUGAUUGGUUUGGGUUCUGGGGACCAUGGCUCUGCAAUGCACUCCAAACAUUGAGAAUUAUCCUGCAUAUAAUAACCAUAAUAAUCCCGUCAUGUUGUAUUCUCUCAAAAGCCUUAAAUGCAUGUUUGCAGCCACUAACCACCAAGAAAUGGUCUCCUUAAUGGUGGAAAAUCAGAAAAGGAAUAAAGAGGAAUGACCAACUUAAAAAUUGUGAACCUGAAGUUGUAACCUGUGAAUAUCAGAGAUUAAGCAAAAAUGUCAUGACCUGUGAAUAUCACACAAAGACUGAGCAAACUAGAGAGUGGUAACUGAAAUGUGACCUUAAAUUUUGAUCACAUCUCUCAGUUAAGCAAAGAGUGUGAUCAAAAGGGAGGAAUUGUUAAAAACUACAGGUCCCAAAUGGAGUCACUUAUGUUAAGGGCCCCAUGUCGGUAAACUAAGACUUACUAUUUAACCUAACUGCAGUUUCAUCCCCCAACUCAAGGGAAUGUAACCUUUAACCAGUCAACAUGGAAUCUCCUGGUUAGUGGUAGGAAAUUUACUGAUAGAUCCCCUCUCUUCCCCUUAGGAGAGUAACCUUGUCUAAAGUAAUGGAUUCUUUGCUAAUAAUUUGCUUUUUUCUACUCCCUCUCUACUUUUAAAAACCUUUCAUUUUCUGCUGCUUGAUGGAG